GUAAAACAAGGUAAUGACCCUGUAUUUAAUCCUCACAGAUUAAAAUGAGAAUAAAAUGUAAAUACCAUAAAAAUCUGUAUUAUUCAUAUAUAAGGAAAUCAUCAUUUGCAACAAAAUCAGAGAAUGUUGAUUCAAUCUCCAUAUCUGUAAGACCUUGACAUUACAACUAUAUACUAUACAUAUAAUACCAUUCCCCUAAUAAUUAUCUUAAGUGAAAUAGUAAUGUAUGCGAAGUGCUUGGCUGCAUUGUCCAGUAUAGCUUAUAUGCUCAAUAAAUACCAGAUCAUGUUCUUAAUGUCUAAAGGCCCAUUAAAAUUGUCCAGUGCUUCUGACACAUAGCGCCUGAAGGGGCAAAAUCAAGUUAUUCCAAGUCAAGCACAAUGCUGACAAUGCUAGUUGUGGGCAGGGCAGUCACAAAAUACUUUUCAAGUAAGCCUCCCAGGGCUGCUUUGCAAAUUGUUUAAGAAUGGGUAUUGGCAAUUGUCACGGAGCCCAGUGACUCAGAAGCUGAGUUUUGCAUUCUGAGUUGAGUAUCAGGAGAGAGUUUUCAUUCUUCUGUGAUUUGGAAGUUACAGUCCCAGACUAAAAGGAAGGCAUCUGUUUGAUUCUAUAGUAACACAAACAUAAAGAGACCAGAUGAGACGGCAUAGCUACCCCGGGGCAGCUUUAAAUUAAACUGCAAAUGUAGUCAUCAGCCCUUUGGAGGAACAUUUGCCCCUAUUUGUUCAGUAUGUGCAGCUUGUCCACCAGACCAGGGAAUGCUUGGUUAUUAUGUGAUUCCACCCCAUUAAAGUUCUUCCAGCCACCCAGGAGGGGAACGGUAAGCAGCAAUCAGUUUUCCCUGAAUGAAGAACGAUUCAAUGAGGGAGAAAUGUGCAGUGCAGGUGCAAUUCUAACUCAUUUCUGAGUAAAUAUAUAGAAAACUUUGUGGUCAGGUGUGAUUCAUCAGAAGGAAAAGCAUUCUCUAUAACAGUUAACCUACAUUUCAAGCAGAGAUUGGGCUUUAUUUUUCCUGUCUUUUAAAAUAUUUUAUUUUUAGUUCUUAGUGAAAUCAGUGGGAAUCAACACUGCUGCCAGGUUAUGUGGUGUUAUUCAAACAUGAACCUUCACCUGGAACACCUGUUAUCUGCAACAGUGAUGAUUAGGAUUUUGGCAUUUAAUAAGGCAUGUGUCCUCUGUAGUUUUAAACCCCAGGCUUUCAUGUAGACUUGUUUUUGACAUGGUGCACUUUUAGAUCCUGAAUAUGGGGACUACAUACUAUGCAUUUGGUUCAAACAUUGGAUACAGGUGUCCAUUGAAAUUCCCUUCUUCCUCUCACUUUCCAUAUCAAAUAGAUACAAUUUUUCACAUUGCUCUUUUGUCAGGUUCAUAAUCAUCAUCUCAAAAAUUCAUGACAUUUAUUGUUUGUAAGAUUUUAUUUUUAAUCAUUCAAAUAGGACUUUUAAAAAAUGUUAUAAAAAAAUAGUAACUUAACAAGAUUAUAGUUGCUAUGCAUGAAUUGAGGAAGGAUUCAGCCCCAGAUCUUCUGACUCCAAAUAACUUUUUAAAAAUAGUAUCUUUUAUUAAGAAUGACAAACUUUUACAUAAAUGAAAACACUUAAAAUGGAAGGGUAUUGAUAUAAAGAAUGACAUGAUAUAAAGAACACCAAAAAUAUAUUGUGUAAAAAGUUUGCUUCAGCCUAUAUUCUAUAAAGGAGUAUCUCCAAAGCUGAAGAUCAAAGGAUACUUACACGUGUGUGGUGUGUGUUCACAAAUUAUAUUAAACUUGUGUCUCCCUUCUGGCAAAUUGGCAAUAAAUGAGAAAUGUAAAUCUCAUAAGAUGCUACAUAUUGGUUUACAUGAGCCUCUGUAUCCUCCUAGGAACACAUAUACACUUACAACCACAAGAAUACUAUGUAGGCACAAUACUAGCUGAUUUAAUGUGAUUCUAUGAUUCUUAUUUAUAGAACUGGGGUUUUGCAUUUCCCAUUCCUACCUAAUUCAAUCAUUCAGAUGGCCUGAUUUACUUUUAGAGCAACGAUUCCCUCCUGGGAGCAAUUUUGCUUCCCAGCAAAAUUUGGCAAUGUCUGGAGACAUUUUUGUUUGUCACAGGAGGAGGUUGUGUGCUACUCGCAUCUUGUACGAGGCCAUGGAUACUACCAAAUAUCCUAUUAUGUACAAGACAGUCCCCCACAACUAAGAAAUAUCCUGCAAAAUGUCAGUGGCACCAUUGGAGAUGAAUGCAAACAUGCUAACCGCAUUCCAGAGACUAAUAUCUGAACAAGAAUGCAAUUUAUUAAUUUGCAAUGAUAGCUAGAACUGUCGAGGGGACCAGGAUAGUCAUAUUUGCUAAUGAAUAUAUAUAUACUCCCUCUGGAAAAUCUAUACAAAAAUCCAAAUUAGAACCAGACAUUUAUUUGCUAAACAUAAAGUCAAUUCUAGGAAGAUAGAUACUCCUUAUAGAACUUAUCACAAUUAAAAUCAAUCAUUUGUGUGAUUAUAUAUAUAUUCCUCCUCUUCAAGUCUAAAAAGUCUACGGGGACAUGGAAUAUACUUCAAUAUGCAUCACCUUAACCAUAGUAUAUAACUGUACUGUCCAGCAUAUAGUAGGUACUAACAAACAUUUAUUGGAUCCAUGAAUGAAUGAAUCCUUAAUGUUUCAGUGUACAAAUUCAUAUUAAACAUAUAACAUGUACAAAGCACUAUUUGAAGCAUUCGGAUUACAAAAUAUAAUAAGACAGUUUCUACUUGUGUGGAGGUUCCUGAAUUCUGAUUGACUAGAUGGACACUACCAGUUAAGUCAGGCUGCUGAAGCCAUAGCCUUCCCUGCCAACAGGCACCAUAGAAGAUCUGAGCCUCAGCAGCCCUGUUAGGUAUCAUGUGACUCUGUCCCUUGGCCACAUUUGAAUGGACUGGGGAGAAACAGUAUGAAAGCAGAAACUGGCAGCAUCCUAUCAUCUGAGCUUUAGCAAAAAGAUGGACCCUGACAAAUCAGAUUCCCAUGCUUGGGUAUUUAAAACUACUAAAUGACUGAAGCAGAAGUGUAAAGAGAAGUUAAAGAUAAUGUAGUGUUUUGAAUGGUGAUCCCCCAAAAGACGUCCAACCCAAAACUCGUGACUGUGACCUAAUUUGAAAAAUGCUUUUGUACUGGUAAGUAAAAGAUUUAAAGAUGAGAUCGUCCUGGAAUAAGUAGAUGGGUCAUAAAUCCAAUGAGCGUGUCUUUAUACACGAGACAGAAAGGUUUGAACACGCAGGAGAGGUUCAUUGAAUGAAGGCACAGACAGCCAGUGAAGUUACGUGGCCACAAGCCAAUGAAGGCCUGGAGCAGACAGAAGCUGGAAGAAGGAAGGAAGGACCCUCCCCUGGAGCCUUCAGAGCUAGUGUGGUCCUGCGCACACCUUGAUUCUUGAACUUCUGGCUUUCAGAACUGUCAGAUGUGUUUGUUUCUUUCAGCCUCUGCACUUUGUUAUGGAGCCUUAAGAAACUAACACAAAUGUCUAGAAAGAAGAAAUAUAUAGGAGUAAAAGUCAUGAAUAGCAGCUUGUAACCACUGAUGUAAUAUGGAAGAAGCAACUGAAUAAAGCAAAAGCUUUGCAAUAGAGAAAUAACACAGUUUGGAGGAAAAUACUGAGCUUUGGAAGUGGCCCCAGGUGCUGUGUGCCAGUCGCCUUCGACCUCGACCUCGACUCAGGGUGGGGGACGGUGUCCAUACCCCAUACUGGCACAGGGGUUGUAACACUGAGGGAAGGGAGCGGGACUUUGAACCUCCAGGAGGGUGCAAGGACACUGCUGAAAGGAAUAACAAGGCUUAUAUCUAGGAUCCAUAAGUUGGACCCUGGGCAUUUUUUACAUGUGGGAACCCAGGCACACGAAAGCAUUGCUGCUCACCUAGAUAACCAGGUUCCAGUUGAGAGUCCCAGAGCUAUUUUCCACACCAAUGACAAUGACCCGGCUAAGCAUGGGGAUCAGCAUGAGGGUCAGCACUACAACAUCUUUCCCCAGGAUAUGAGGACUGAAUUUCCCCAUGGCCUUCCUCCUCGCUUUGUGAUACAGGUGAAGAUGUUCAGUGAAGCUUACCUAAUGGAAAGGAAACCAGCCCUAGAACUUCUGCAUUAACUGAAAAAACACCAGUGUUGCUUAUCCGGCUGUACGAUAUCUUCUGUAUGGAGAGAAGGGAACAGGAAAAACCCUCAGUCUUUGCCAUGUUAUUCAUUUCUGUGCAAAACAGGACUGGAUGAUACUACAUAUUCCGGAUGCUCAUCAUUGGGUAAAAAAUUGCCGGGAACUUCUACAGUCCAACUACAACAAACAACCCUUUGAUCAACCUUUAGAGGCUUCAACCUGGCUGAAGAAUUUCAAAACUACAAAUGAGCGCUUCCUGAACCAGAUAAAAAUUCAAGAGAAGUAUGUCUGGAAUAAGAGAGAAAGCACUGAGAAAGGCAGUCCUCUGGGAGACGUGGUUGAACAGGGCAUAACACAGGUGAGGAACGCCACAGAUGAGUUGGAAUUGUGCUGAAAGAGCUACACAGAGGCAAAGUUCUUUGGGUAUUUUUCACCUCCUGGUGGCCGUGGAUGGAAUAAAAGACACAUGGAAUUGGAUCAUAGAGAGCAGCUAUGCCACUUCUCUAGGUUCUGGUGUAAAGAUGCACAGAUUCCUGCUCUUGAUAAUCCCGCUGCUUUGGAAGAAGCUUCUUUUCCUGUUUAUCCAUUAAGAAGUCAGGCAUGUUUGGGCUUUAUAUUUGUUUAAUCUUACAGGAAACAUUUCAUCAUUCCCUAAGGCCGAAGCGUUUUGUAAAGAAUUGUAAAUGGAAAAUUGCAAUAUAAAGCAGAAAGUUGUCAACAAGUCCAGCAUGCCAAUGACCUAAUGGACUUCCCAAGAGAAACACUUGGUCUGGCUAGAAAUUCCAUGAAAAGCUUCCUGCGUUAACUUAUUAAAUUAUCCCUGCAUAUCUUGAAAGUUGAGUGGGUACUUUUCAACUGACUAAUAAGAGAUGAAAUGACAAGAAAGAAAAAUUUUCAAAAGAGAAAAGAUAAAGAAAACUGAAAGCACAGGGGCAUGAAAUCAUGUGGGUUAUCAUCCUACUAUGUAAUGGGAUUGCGCUAUCGGCACAUGAGGAAGAUAGAGAAGCGAAAGAUACUGAAAUAUUAUUGUCAGCAGAUUGGCACGCCCUGCCUCCCACAGACUACUUUUGGCUCCAUGAUAAGCAGCCUCCUGAGACAACCGAUGCGCCUAUAGUUUUAGACGGGCUAAUGCAAUCCCAUUCCUAUGAGAUUGCUUCAAAGUUACUAACUCAAGAUGUAUUUGAAAUUUUUCCAUUUUGCCCCUUCUGCAGAUAGCCGAUGUAAUUUCCUGCACUUUUCCUGAUCUUUUAGACCAAGUAUGCAUUUGAAAUUCUGGGUGUCUUGAAAUACAGGGAAACAAAGGUCUGUAUUCUUUUUUUCUGGAAUUUGAAUUAAUGCCCUUUAUGUGGCAUCAGUGUGAAGAUUACUCAGUAGAUGAGAAAUCAAAGAAAAAGAAAAGUUUAAAAUAUGUAUGUGAAAACAAUCUACAAAAUAGAGAUGUUCUAUCGGACUCCCUCUAACUAAAAAAAUAAAAAAGUGUAGUUUGCAUUUAGCUUCUUUUUUUGUAAAUAUGUGAUAUAUCUAGUCUGUCCCAAUCACUGUGCUAGCUCCCUAGUACGAAAAGGUAACUAAAAGCACAGCUUCACCCAAACAUAAAUUAUAAUUUAGUGUGUUUUGAAGGUAUCAUUUUGCCUCACAGUAUAAGCAAAAAGCAGAAAAUAGUGAUUGAUUAACCUUAUUUUGUGGCGAUGCAGCAAUCUAAUAAACCCAAAUUUUAGAAUGAAAUGAAGAUAACAAAAUUGAAGGAACCAAUAUUUCUGGUUGGUGCCCACUUUUAUUACAGUGCUAAAAAUAAACAUUGACAAGAAAGGGUAGAUGAAUGCCUUCUUGUUAUUUUCCAGCAUUGAGAGAGGUUUAGAUUAGCAUGUUGGGGAUAGGAACAUUAAGAAGUUGGUAGCCUUCACACAUAAGAUGAAUAAAUAUAGAUCAUUAUAAAUGACUUCAAAAAUCUUAUCUUCAGAUGUUCUGGCUGGGCUUAUAAUGAAAGGAACAAGGAAUGUUAGAAAAUAUGGUGUCUUCACAGUCUCAUAAACAAUACUUUCUGAAACCUUCUAAAGAAUAUGCUGAAAUGGAUAAAGAACCCUCUGAGAAACUCCUUUUGUUGUUGGAUUUUUAAAGUUGUCAUAAACCACCUUUUGUACUUAACCUAAAUAAUGAAUGUUGUUACUUUUUUGUUAUAUUUAAAAAAUAAAUAUUGUUAUCAAAUAUAAUGCUAUGAUGUAUCACUAAUGUAAAAUUGUGUCUUGUUAAAACAAAGUUAUGCAUUAUUUUUGAAAGUAAAUAUGGAAUAAUAUGAAUGUUUAGAAGCUGAUUAGGAGAAAUUAUUGAUCUUUGUCCUAAAAGAUUUUGUUACAUUAUUAAAAAAAUUCAUUUACUGAAAUAUGCAUGCAUGCACACACACACACACACACACACACACACACACACACACAUACAUACUUUCACACAUUGUAAUCAGUGUCUGUGAAUAGGUAACUUUAUAGUCUCCUAUUUAUAUUCAUGUUAUUAGAAAUUCUUAUAAUCUAAUUUAAAUGUAGAAAUUUUAGAAAUUUCCAGGUUAAAAAUUAAUAUUAUUCAAAUUAAUGAGAAAAUAAUUAGUUCUGAAUUUACACAUGAGCAAGACAUAAAAAUAACAUAUAUUUAUAAAACAGAACAAAGUUGCAAAGUACAGAAAAAUGUAAUUGUAGCAGUCAUCAAAGAUACGGUAACUUAAACAUGGACACAAUUUUUCAUUCAGCAAAAUUAUUUAAAAGACAACCUUUUAAAAAAUAA